rnacentral:rRNA from 1 species
GACGAACGCUGGCGGCGUGCCUAAUACAUGCAAGUUGAGCGCUGAAGGUUGGUACUUGUACCAACUGGAUGAGCAGCGAACGGGUGAGUAACGCGUGGGGAAUCUGCCUUUGAGCGGGGGACAACAUUUGGAAACGAAUGCUAAUACCGCAUAAAAACUUUAAACACAAGUUUUAAGUUUGAAAGAUGCAAUUGCAUCACUCAAAGAUGAUCCCGCGUUGUAUUAGCUAGUUGGUGAGGUAAAGGCUCACCAAGGCGAUGAUACAUAGCCGACCUGAGAGGGUGAUCGGCCAAAUUGGGACUGAGAAACGGCCCAAACUCCUACGGGAGGCAGCAGUAGGGAAUCUUCGGCAAUGGACGAAAGUCUGACCGAGCAACGCCGCGUGAGUGAAGAAGGUUUUCGGAUCGUAAAACUCUGUUGGUAGAGAAGAACGUUGGUGAGAGUGGAAAGCUCAUCAAGUGACGGUAACUACACAGAAAGGGACGGCUAACUACGUG